GGGUGUGAGGGUGAUCUGGCUGUGAUAUCUGUCACUCCAUUGAUCACCAGGGGAUGAUUCAUCCAAUCUGGUUGGCUAAGCAGGUGUCCCCUUCCUUACUCACAGCUCCAUAUGUGUCCCUCCUGAAACUGAGGCUUGGUUAAAGAGGACAAUCUUCUCCAAGUGAGGAGGAUCAGUCUUCCAAGAAGAGAUGUAGUAGCACUUGCCUGUUUGAAUCUCCACGCAAACUCUUCAUAUUAAGAUUGUUAUCACUAUGCAAAUACCUUUGAAUUAUGUAGUUCAAUAUCAUUGUUU
rnacentral:snRNA from 1 species